UCAGGAUGAACGCUGGCGGCGUGCUUAACACAUGCAAGUUGCGCGGUGAUCUCAAGAAGUUUCGGACGGAAAGGGAGAGCAGCAGCGGACGGGUGAGUAAAGCACAAGGACUUGUCCCGAAGAGGGGGACAACUGUGGGAAACCACAGCUAAUACCCCAUAAGCCGAGAGGUGAAAGCAGUAAUGCGCUUUAGGAGAGACUUGUGUCCUAUCAGGUAGUUGGUGAGGUAACGGCUCACCAAGCCGAAGACGGGUAGCCGGACUGAGAGGUUGUACGGCCACAUUGGAACUGAGAGACGGUCCAGACUCCUACGGGAGGCAGCAGUGGGGAAUAUUGGGCAAUGGGGGCAACCCUGACCCAGCGACGCCGCGUGAGGGAAGACAGCCUUCGGGUUGUAAACCUCUGUUGCAGGGGAAGAAGAAAGUGACGGUACCCUGCGAGGAAGCUCCGGCAAACUACGUGCCAGCCGCCGC
rnacentral:rRNA from 1 species